rnacentral:rRNA from 1 species
AGUGAACGCUGGCGGUAGGCCUAACACAUGCAAGUCGAACGGCAGCACAGUAAGAGCUUGCCCUUACGGGUGGCGAGUGGCGGACGGGUGAGGAAUACAUCGGAAUCUACUUUUUCGUGGGGGAUAACGUAGGGAAACCUACGCUAAUACCGCAUACGACCUUCGGGUGAAAGCAGGGGAUCUUCGGACCUUGCGCGAUUGAAUGAGCCGAUGUGGGAUUAGCUGGUUGGCGGGGUAAAGGCCCACCAGGGCGACGAUCCGUAGCUGGUCUGAGAGGAGGGUAGGCCACAUUGGAGCGUGAACAGGGACAAGGGUACUGCGGGAGGGAGCAGACGGGAAUAGUGGGCAAUAGGCGCGAACCUGGUCCAGCCAUACCGCGUGGGUGGAAGAGGCCUUGGGGUUGUAAAGCCCUUUUGUUGGGAAAGAAAAGCAGCAGGUUAAUACCCCGCUGUUCUGACGGUACCCAAUAAAUAAGCACCGGCUAACUUCGUG